UGCGUAGGCGGGUCUUUAAGUCAGGGGUGAAAUCCUGGAGCUCAACUCCAGAACUGCCUUUGAUACUGAGGAUCUUGAGUACGGGAGAGGUGAGUGGAACUGCGAGUGUAGAGGUGAAAUUCGUAGAUAUUCGCAAGAACACCAGUGGCGAAGGCGGCUCACUGGCCCGUUACUGACGCUGAGGCACGAAAGCGUGGGAGCAAACA
rnacentral:rRNA from 1 species